rnacentral:rRNA from 1 species
GUCUACGGCCAUGCCAUCUUGAACGUGCCCGAUAUUGUCUGAUCUUGAAAGCUAAGCAGGGUCGGGCCUGGUUACUACUUGGAUGGGAGACCACCUAGGAAGACCGGGUGCUGUAGGCG